CCUUCGGGUCUAGUGGCGGACGGGUGAGUAACGCGUGGGAAUUUGCCUUUCGGUGCGGGACAACCAAGGGAAACUUUGGCUAAUACCGCAUACGCCCUACGGGGGAAAGAUUUAUCGCUACGAGAUGAGCCCAUGCAAGAUUAGCUAGUUGGUAAGGUAAUGGCUUACCAAGGCUACGAUCUUUAGCUGAUUUGAGAGGAUGAUCAGCCACACUGGGACUGAGACACGGCCCAGACUCC
rnacentral:rRNA from 1 species